CACAAGCGGUGGAUGAUGUGGAUUAAUUCGAUGCAACGCGAAAACCUUACCUACCCUUGACAUGUCCGGAAUCCCGAAGAGAUUUGGGAGUGCUCGCAAGAGAACCGGAACACAGGUGCUGCAUGGCUGUCGUCAGCUCGUGUCGUGAGAUGUUGGGUUAAGUCCCGCAACGAGCGCAACCCUUGUCCUUAGUUGCCAGCAUUCAGUUGGGCACUCUAAGGAGACUGCCGGUGUCAAACCGGAGGAAGGUGGGGAUGACGUCAAGUCCUCAUGGCCCUUAUGUCCAGGGCUACACACGUGCUACAAUGGCCGGUACAAAGGGGCGCAAGACCGCGAGGUGGAGCAAAUACCCAAAAACCGGUCUCAGUUCGGAUUGGAGUCUGCAACUCGACUCCAUGAAGUUGGAAUCGCUAGUAAUCGCGUAUCAGCAUGACGCGGUGAAUACGUUCCCGGGCCUU
rnacentral:rRNA from 1 species